UGGGGAAUAUUGGACAAUGGGCGCAAGCCUGAUCCAGCCAUGCCGCGUGAGUGAUGAAGGCCCUAGGGUUGUAAAGCUCUUUCACCGGUGAAGAUAAUGACGGUAACCGGAGAAGAAGCCCCGGCUAACUUCGUGCCAGCAGCCGCGGUAAUACGAAGGGGGCUAGCGUUGUUCGGAUUUACUGGGCGUAAAGCGCACGUAGGCGGACUUUUAAGUCAGGGGUGAAAUCCCGGGGCUCAACCCCGGAACUGCCUUUGAUACUGGAAGUCUUGAGUAUGGUAGAGGAGAGUGGAAUUCCGAGUGGAGGGGUGAAAUUCGUAGAUAUUCGGAGGAACACCAGUGGCGAAGGCGGCUCACUGGACCAUUACUGACGCUGAGGUGCGAAAGCGUGGGGAGCAAACAGG
rnacentral:rRNA from 1 species